GGGCCUGUAGCUCAGGUGGAUAGAGCAGCGGAUUCCUAAUCCGCGUGCCGGAGGUUCGAGUCCUCUCAGGCCCACCA
rnacentral:tRNA from 1 species